rnacentral:rRNA from 1 species
AUUGAACGCUGGCGGCAGGCCUAACACAUGCAAGUCGAACGCGUGGCGGACGGGAGAAUAAUGUCUGGGAAACUGCCUGAUGGAGGGGGAUAACUACUGGAAACGGUAGCUAAUACCGCAUACCAUCAGAUGUGCCCAGAUGGGAUUCGCUUGUUGGUGGGGUAACGGCUCACCAAGGCGACGAUCCAUAGCUGGUCUGAGAGGAUGACCGGCCACACUGGAACUGAGACACGGUCCAGACUCCUACGGGAGGCAGCAGUGGGGAAUAUUCCGCAAUGGGCGAAAGCCUGAUGCAGCCACGCCGCGUGUAUGAAGAAGGUCUUCGGGUUGUAAAGUACUUUCAGUGGGGAGGCGUUACCUGAACAAGAAGCACCGGCUAACUCCGUGCCAGCAGCCGCGGUAAUAC